rnacentral:rRNA from 1 species
UAGGGAAUCUUCCGCAAUGGGCGAAAGCUUGACGGAGCAACGCCGCGUGAGUGAUGAAGGUCUUCGGAUCGUAAAACUCUUUUAUUAGGGAAGAACAAAUGUGUAAGUAACUAUGCACGUCUUGACGGUACCUAAUCAGAAAGCCACGGCUAACUACGUGCCAGCAGCCGCGGUAAUACGUAGGUGGCAAGCGUUAUCCGGAAUUAUUGGGCGUAAAGCGCGCGUAGGCGGUUUUUUAAGUCUGGUGUGAAAGCCCACGGCUCAACCGUGGAGGGUCAUUGGAAACUGGAAAACUUGAGUGCAGAAGAGGAAAGUGGAAAACCAUGUGUAGCGGUGAAAUGCGCAGAGAUAUGGAGGAACAACAGUGGCGAAGGCGACUUUCUGGUCUGUAACUGACGCUGAUGUGCGAAAGCGUGGGGAUCAAACAGG